rnacentral:lncRNA from 1 species
UCUGCUCAUGUUAAGUAUCAAGUAUGUUUAACCUAAUUUUUUUAUUCUAAUUUAAAAAUAAAAGGGGUUAAAGUUAUAGUUAUGUCAUUGUAUUAGGUGUUCCAAUUUUGAUAUUCAAUCAAGUUUCUUAUUGUUUUAUGGUUUUUCAUUUGGGCAUCUUGAAUGCUAUAUUUCUUUAUUAAGUCAAUUGUUUAAGUAGCCACAUGCUUUAACUUUAAACUUUCUUCUGAUUUCAAUAGCUAGGGAUAUGAAUUGUUUUUCUUUGUCUUUGGAUUUGAUUGUUUAGGAUGGACUUUGUUGUUCAUGUUUGUUUAGUUGGUUUUGUUAAGUUCAUGAUUUUGUCAACUAUUUGAGUUCUAAAGUUUAAAAUGAUUAGUUUUUGUGACUUCAUUAAAACUGUGAAUUUGGCUGGAACGUAGAAAGAAUUUUAAAAGAAAAUAUCAUUCUAACUCGGCUUGAUUAUUUUUACAAUACUAGAUCAAUAGCAUGCCCCAACCAAAAGAGCUUCUUGAUUCACCUCUGAAUGUAGGUUUAUUGAACUUUAGCAAAUGCUUGUCAAGGCUUUGACUAAUUAUUUUGAUGCCAAAUUGCUUCUAGAUGUCAAUGAUUUUUCACUUAAGGUGAUCCUGUCAAAUUAAAAACUCAUAAUAUUCAAAUUUACUAAUCUGCCCCUUUCGAUUUUUCUCAGGUUCAAAGCGAAUUUGGAGCAUCCUCCAAAGAAGCCGUAAACAUUAUUGUUUUUUUUUAUUUUUAUUUUUAUUUUUUUUAUUUUUUUUUUUUAUCAUAUACUUUUUUAAUUUCAUUCAAUUAUAUCGUUUUAUCUACUAAUGUAGUUUCUACAAUAUAUAGACCUUCAAAAGAUCCACUUCAGAAACAACCUUGGGACAAACGUCAGAAUGAUUUGGACCCAACCUUAACUAUGUUUCAUUCCAAACAAAAAUAAUAAAAGGUAUACUUAUUUGGAUCAACAUUAUCUAUGUUUCGAUCAAAUCAGGAAAUAAAAGGUGUUUAGUUUUGAUUGUUAUUGUUUAUAGUUUACUUGUUUAAGAAAAUGCCUCCAUUAUAAGUUUUUAUGCUUUCAAAAAUGGUCCAUGUUGCAGGUAAUUAUUACAAAAAUGGUUCAUUUAGUUGGAAUAACAUGACAAAAAUCUCCCUUUAAAGAUUUGUUACAUAAAUUGUCCCUAUGGCAGGAAUAUAUUAUAGAAAUGACCCUUGUGGCAGGACACUGUUACAAAAAUGGUCCAUGUUGCAACAAAAACAUGAUAAAAAUGGUCCUUUUAAGAAUCUGUUAUAGAAAUUGUCACUUUCGCACAUAAUUAUAUAUAAAUUAAUUAUUUUUCUAGUAUUACCCAAUGUAUUACAAACAAUUUUAUUCUGCAUUUGUUUCUGGUUCCUUGUAGCUUUUCUAUGGCUCAUAAUAUCUCUCUUCUAGGAAUUCAAAGAUCCUCAUCUAAAAGUCAUCAUGGCAAUGGUAAGUAUGUUUAACUAGGAUAACCAAGUGAUCCAUGAUUCUUUUUGUGUUGUGAUUAUUAAUGGUAUUCUUACAUAUCUUUAUGUGAUUUCUUAUGGUUAUAUUAUUGGAAAUUGUAGAUAAGUUGUAUAAACAAGAGAAGCAAGACAACAAGUAUGC